UUCUGCAGCGUCACGAAGUUCGCUUUACCAUACCUUGCUAAGCUGAGGUAAAGCGAACUUCGUGACGCUGCAGAA